rnacentral:rRNA from 1 species
AAACUUGAGAGUUUGAUCCUGGCUCAGAACGAACGCUGGCGGCAUGCCUAACACAUGCAAGUCGA